UAGGGAAUAUUGGGGCAAAUGGGAGGCAACUCUGACCCAGCAACGCCGCGUGAAGGAUGAAGGCCUUCGGUUGUAAACUUCUGUUAUCAAGGACGAAGAUAGUGACUGUACUUGAUAAGCAAGCCCCGGCUAACUAUGUGCCAGCAGCCGCGGUAAAACAUAGGGGGCAAGCAUUGUCCGGAAUCACUGGGCGUAAAGGGAGCGUAGGCGGAUUUUUAAGUUAAGUGUGAAAGCCUGGGGCUUAACUCCAGAAUUGCACUUAAUACUGGAUUUCUAGAGUGUGGGAGAGGUAAGUGGAAUUCCUAGUGUAGCGGUAGAAUGCGUAGAGAUUAGGAGGAACAUCAGAGGCGAAGGCGGCUUACUGGACCAUAACUGACGCUGAGGCUCGAAAGCGUGGGGAGCAAACA
rnacentral:rRNA from 1 species